GACGAACGCUGGCGGCGUGCUUAACACAUGCAAGUCGAACGGAAAGGCCUCAGCUUGCUGGGGUACUCGAGUGGCGAACGGGUGAGUAACACGUGGGUGAUCUGCCUUGCACUCUGGGAUAAGCUUGGGAAACUGGGUCUAAUACCGGAUAUGAACUGCCUUUAGUGUGGGGGUUGGAAAGUUUUUUCGGUGCAGGAUGAGCUCGCGGCCUAUCAGCUUGUUGGUGGGGUAAUGGCCUACCAAGGCGUUGACGGGUAGCCGGCCUGAGAGGGUGUACGGCCACAUUGGGACUGAGAUACGGCCCAGGCUCCUACGGGAGGCAGCAGUGGGGAAUAUUGCACAAUGGGCGGGAGCCUGAUGCAGCGACGCCGCGUGGGGGAUGACGGCCUUCGGGUUGGAAACUCCUUUCGACAGGGACGAAGCUUUUUGUGACGGUACCUGUAUAAGAAGCACCGGCUAACUACGUG
rnacentral:rRNA from 1 species